GGGGUCAACUUGUUUCCUACCUUCGGGCAAGGAAAAUGAUUUCUAAAGGGUGUGUGUAUCAUCUCGUCCAUGUUAACGAUUCCAGUUCCUAAUCUCCCAGCCUUGAAUCAGUCCAAGUGGUUAAUGAAUAUUCAGAUGUCUUUUCCGAAGAUCUUCUAGGCAUUUCUCCCUAAAGGGAAAUGACUUCGGCAUAGACCUU
rnacentral:lncRNA from 1 species